UACGUAGGGGGCAAGCGUUGUCCGGAUUUAUUGGGCGUAAAGAGCGUGUAGGCGGCCGUACAGGUCAGCUGUGAAAACUCGAGGCUCAACCUCGAGACGUCGGUUGAAACCGUACGGCUAGAGUCCGGAAGAGGAGAGUGGAAUUCCCGGUGUAGCGGUGAAAUGCGCAGAUAUCGGGAAGAACACCCGUGGCGAAGGCGGCUCUCUGGGACGGUACUGACGCUGAGACGCGAAAGCGUGGGGAGCGAAUAGG
rnacentral:rRNA from 1 species